rnacentral:lncRNA from 1 species
UCACAAGUCACAAGUAAUGAAUUAAAUGCAUGCGGACCGAAUUCACUUGGAUAUAUAACAGAAACAUCAACUCGUCAUUUUUUAAAACCCAAGGAGUCUCAUAAGUUACUGUGCUGAUCAUAUUGGAGUAGCAUACUAGCAUCAUAUAUCAACACUACCCUUUCUUUCUGUGUUACACAGUACUGAUGUUGAAACCAAAAAAAUCCUAAGCAAAGGAAAAGAGAUAUGACGACUAAUCAUGUAAUUGAAAUAAUCAAUUUAGAAGUGAAAAAUAUUAAAAAAAUACUUUACAUUACAGAUGAGUAAACAUGAAACAACUCAACGUAAGAGAAAUGUAUUCAGUGAUGACUACGCCUGAGGACAGAAAGAAAUCCACCGCCAGUUUUCUCCUUGCGAUGAUCCUCUCCUUCAUCUGCAACCUGCAUGUCCCAUGCACAUACUUCAGAUAUCAUCUAGCUAGCUAGGUUACAAAAAACUCGGUGCAGAUCAUAAUUCUUCAAGCAUGCAUGCCGUUAUAUCAACAUAUUUCCAAAACCAUUUAAAUAAUUACGUAAUAGGGUGAGGACCUUCGCUACAUAACUUCUACAUUCAUUUGUUAAACAUAAAGC